UACGAAGGGGGCUAGCGUUGUUCGGAGUUACUGGGCGUAAAGGGCGCGUAGGCGGCGCACCAAGUCAGGCGUGAAAGCCCUGGGCUCAACCCGGGAAUUGCGCUUGAGACUGGUGUGCUUGAGUACGGGAGAGGAUAGUGGAAUUCCCAGUGUAGAGGUGAAAUUCGUAGAUAUUGGGAAGAACACCGGUGGCGAAGGCGGCUAUCUGGACCGUAACUGACGCUGAGGCGCGAAAGCGUGGGGAGCGAACAGG
rnacentral:rRNA from 1 species